CCCUUAGAUGUUCUGGGCUGCACGCGCGCUACACUGACACACUCAGCGAGUCUCCUGGCCCGAGAGGGUUGGGUAAUCAUGUGAGCGUGUGUCGUGAUGGGGAUAGAAUAUUGUAAUUAUUGCUCUUCAACGAGGAAUUCCUAGUAAGCGCGAGUCAGCAGCUCGCGCUGAUUACGUCCCUGCCCUUUGUACACACCGCCCGUCGCACCUACCGAUUGAAUGGUCCGGUGAAGCCUCCGGAUUGGCGCGCACCUCGGUGCCGCCGAGAAGUUGGCUAAACCUUACCAUUUAGAGGAAGGUGAAGUCGUAACA
rnacentral:rRNA from 1 species